AGUUCACGUGAUCUGGGUGUAACAUCACCCCAUUGAUCACGAGUGUUGUUUUGGCUAUUCUGUCUGGCAAGGCAGGCAUCCCAUUCCAACCUUUUGGUUCCAUGUGUAUCCCUCCUGAAACUGAGAGCUCAACUGAAGAGAACAACCUUCAUGGAGGGAGGAGGACUGUUAGUCAACCAGGAUAUACUAGCAGUUGUGCUAUAGUGCUAGAACCUCCAGGUAAGGUCUCAAUAUAAAACACUGAUUCUAAGAAAUAGUUACGUUAAAAAAUGAAAUUUUCUCCAGAUUAAUAUAUUGCUUU
rnacentral:snRNA from 1 species